GGCGGGCUCGCCGAUCGGAUGGCUAUCGGCGUCAAAGACGCGGAACAGCUGGACGCCCGGAUAGAUGGUCGGUUCCGUGCCCGGACUUGUCG
rnacentral:tRNA from 1 species